rnacentral:lncRNA from 1 species
AGCAUGAUCAAGAGGAAUGGUGAAAUACUAAACUUAUAACAAAGUCUAUCUUUGGCUUUCAGAGAUAAUAAAUUUGUCAAUAUCUAAUAGUUUUGCCUCAUAAAGACAAAGUUGAUUUUGUUUUUUCAACAUAAGUUGGAUUGCUUAUUAGUGAUUAGAAACUUAUUUGGACUUGUAGUUACAAUCUAUUUAUAAAUUGAGUCAUCAAGUUUCUCCGUUUGCUAAUUUUUCUUGUAAGACAUUUAUGCAUCAAGUUUCUGUCUUUACUACAGGGAAUCUGUACUUAUAUCUGAACUCUGCAUGAGUUCUAUAUAUAGUGUUGCCUUUGGAAAUCAUAUCAACACUUCAAUUUGAAGAGACCUAUCUGUUUAAAGAGUAUGCUCCAUCAUGAUAGUAAAACUACAAACUAUUCUAGAUGUUCAUGGAAACUAAUUUGACACCGUAUGGUUUUAAUCUAUUGAACUAUCUCAUUAAUUCAUUUUAUAAAAUACGAUUCGACUUAUCUCUUUGACAUUACAAGUUCCUCUGGAACCAUACAUUGCAAUAGUUGUUUAUAUUAUUAUGCCUAAUCUUGCAUCAGGCUUGAUCGAAUUCUAAAAAAAUGUCCAUAUAAAAUUACAAUAUACUUGAAUAAUAUAUUUAUUAUAAAUACACUAUUUAAUCUUAGUUAUUACAAAGAUACACAAAUAAAAUAUUUUAUUUUCAAAUAUGUACUUGGUAGCUAGCUUGUAGUUUACUCAUGAAUAAAUCAAAUACUAUGCACCUUUUCAAGUUCUCUUUUUUACAUUAGAUGUAUAGCUAAUCCAUGCAAAACAAUGAGUUAUCUCUACUGCACUUGUUACUAUUCUGAAUAAUGAUGCUUUAAUUAGCAUUGAAAGAAGCUUGGCACUAGGCUUGAUCUUAAUUUUAUUCCUUUGCUAUUAGUUAUAUAUGCCAAAUCUUGUAUGUUCUAUACAGUCUAAUGAUGCAGUCUGCCCAGGAACUUUGGAGAAGAAAUGGCAUGAUAAUCUAUAAACACUAACAAUCCCUCCACUCAAAAGCUGCACCUCAUGGCUACAAACCUAUAGUGAGUCAUUAGUUGGAGCUUCAAUUAUGGCAAUUGCUCCUCCAUCUCCACGGUGCUUCAAUUUCCCUCUAUUAGUUUAUGGAUCAUCUUUCAUUUAUUUCUAGUCUGAUUUUUCCCCCUUCUUUCCUAUAGCCUUCUACUAUAUUAUGGCAGACUUUGCUAGCUCUCUUGAUCAUCCUCUGUUGUUAGUUUUUUUUUCUUCCCUUCUUUUCCUUCUAUUAUGCAAUAAAAUUUUCAAGACCCAAGAGAUAAGAUUCGAAUCCUGGAACAGCAAGUCCAAUUCUAGAUACCAAGCUCUCCUCACCAAAAACAUAGCACUGGUUGAAUAUUUUCUACACGUUUACUUUGUUGUAUAUUUCAUCUCUUAUUCACAUUGCUGUAUUACAUUUUAUUGUUCUAGUUUUAGUGCAAAAUUUCAUUUUCUAAUUUGAGAUUUGUCAUAUUAUUGAUUUUUGAUGCAUUCGAUGUGCUGCAAGCAUAUGAAAAAUGAAUCUUAAAAGAUAGUUGUUGAUUCAUAUCCCAUGCUAGAAGUUGAUGUGGGCAAAUUUAAAUUCUGAAUGUUCUGCAAGUAGUGAUGAUGGCUUGCAUGUCGAUUUGGUGCGCCUGUAAAUCCUACAUGGGCAUUUGCAAAUUGGUUCAAGUUUGGUGUUAGUGAAGCAUAGAGGCCCGACGAAGAUCUGGUUUGAAUCUGAUGCAUUGUGUAUCAUCAAAUACAUAUGAAUAAAUAUAACUUGGCCAGCUCAUUGAUGCAUCUUACUUCAGGAUGCUUAUGAAACAUUCACUCAGUCUCAAAAAUAUUUUAUUACGUAUAGAUCAAAAGAACCAAAUGACUUAGUAAAUUGGCCUACAGGAAGAGAUCAUAAGGAAAAGCAGCAUUUGCUGUGGCAGGAAUACUUCCAAGGAAGUCAAUGGACUUAAUUGUGCAGAUCAUAGAUCUGUAUUAUUUCGAUGUAUGGAAUCUUGCGUAGCUAUUGGCUGAAUUAAUUAAAAAAGAUAAAUUUCUUUAUUACCUACUCAUCCACCUCUAAUCUCAAUUAAUGGGCAGCCACUAAGUUGAAGUUCUUUUCAUUUCU